rnacentral:rRNA from 1 species
CCUACGGGAGACAGCAGUGAGGAAUAUUGGUCAAUGGACGAGAGUCUGAACCAGCCAAGUAGCGUGAAGGAUGACUGCCCUAUGGGUUGUAAACUUCUUUUAUAUGGGAAUAAAAUGUUCCACGUGUGGGAUUUUGUAUGUACCAUAUGAAUAAGGAUCGGCUAACUCCGUGCCAGCAGCCGCGGUAAUACGGAGGAUCCGAGCGUUAUCCGGAUUUAUUGGGUUUAAAGGGAGCGUAGGUGGAUUGUUAAGUCAGUUGUGAAAGUUUGCGGCUCAACCGUAAAAUUGCAGUUGAAACUGGCAGUCUUGAGUACAGGAGAGGUGGGCGGAAUUCGUGGUGUAGCGGUGAAAUGCUUAGAUAUCACGAAGAACUACGAUUGCGAAGGCAGUUCACUGGACUGCAACUGACACUGAGGCUCGAAAGUGUGGGUAUCAAACAGGAUUAGAUACCCGUGUAGUC